GUUGUAACGAGUGCAUAGUUCUCAUCUAUGAUGGUAGCAGUGUCUGCGUUUCGUGUGCAGAUCUUGUUAUCCACACAAACGUCAUGCAGCCAAAGAGAAGCCUGGGAUCUUAGUACUGGUCUAGUGUCGUCUACCACUGGCCACUCUAUUCCCUCACACAG